UGCCUUCCUGCCGCCUCCUCUGCUCCCCGGGGACCGAGGGCGAUGGACGCCGGCUGCCUGCGGGCCCGCAGCCUGCUGCUCUUCCUCGGUUACCUAUUGCAGGCAGCCCUGGGCACAACAGUGAUCCCAUUAUGUGGGCCUGGUGAAAUGGAGAACUGCACCACAGCGCUCAUCCAGACAGAGAACAGCCCACGUGUGGCCCAAGUGGGGAUAACGAGAUGCAAGCCUGAAAUGAAGGACUACUGCUUCCAUGGGCAGUGCGUGUACAUCGUGGACUUGGAUGAGCACUACUGCAGGUGUGACGUGGGGUUCUCUGGAGUGCGGUGUGUGCACUCGGAGCUGGUCCGGCAGCCCCUCAGCAAGGAGUACGUGGCACUGACGGUUAUCGUGGUUCUGCUCUUCGUCGCCGCCAUCUCCCUUGCAAGCUACUACAUCUAUAGGAGACAGACCUACUUACCCACAGGAAGACUUUAAGGCAGAUGUGGAAUUUUCAGUGAAGAGCUGAGAAAGGAGACUGCCCGGGAGUUAUCUCAGACCUGGAAAUGAGCACAGACAGAGCCCAGGAGCUAGAGAUUUAAAGGAGGAGAGAUUUAAAACAAACUUUAGAAGGUACCGAAACAAGAGGAGACAAACAAAUGCCGGUGAAUACAAGGAAGUUGGUGCCCUAUAGGAGAAAUGGUGACUUCCUGCAGUGUUCCGUUCAUCUGGAUGGACUCAGUGGCUUCCCAUCUAUUUAAAUAUUAUUUUUAUUAAUAAUAUUUACUAUAUUUAUAACCUUAAAAAAAUUUCAAUUGUUUGGUGAUUCAAUCUGUAUAGGUCAAGCAUUUUAUUUGCAGUGUUUUAUUUUUUUAUUAAAUAAUAUUUCCUAAAGGAAACCCCACCUAAGUGGUUCUGUGGGAUAGAGAUAUAUUUUUAUAAAAACUCGUCUUCUUGCUCUGGAGAGAAGAAUUUUAUAUUUAUUCUUGUGAAUAUACUCAAAGCAAUUGUAUUCCUUGAAAUAAAAGUUUAGACAAAGUCAAAA